rnacentral:rRNA from 1 species
UGGGGAAUAUUGGACAAUGGGCGCAACUCUGAACCAGCCAUGCCGCGUGCAGGAAGACGGCCCUCUGGGUUGUAAACUGCUUUUAUUCGGGAAUAAACCUAUCUACGUGUAGAUAGCUGAAUGUACCGAAGGAAUAAGGAUCGGCUAACUCCGUGCCAGCAGCCGCGGUAAUACGGAGGAUCCAAGCGUUAUCCGGAUUUAUUGGGUUUAAAGGGUGCGUAGGCGGCCUAUUAAGUCAGGGGUGAAAGACGGUAGCUCAACUAUCGCAGUGCCCUUGAUAUUGAUGGGCUUGAAUGAACUAGAGGUAGGCGGAAUGUGACAAGUAGCGGUGAAAUGCAUAGAUAUGUCACAGAACACCGAUUGCGAAGGCGACAUACUGGCUCAUUACUGACGCUGAGGCUCGGAAGCGUGGGGAGCAAACA